rnacentral:rRNA from 1 species
AUACGGAGGAUCCGAGCGUUAUCCGGAUUUAUUGGGUUUAAAGGGUGCGCAGGCGGCCAUUUAAGUCAGCGGUUAACUCGUGGGGCUCAACCCCAUUCUGCCGUUGAUACUGGGUGGCUUGAUUGCGGUCGAGGUUGUCGGAAUUCGUCGUGUAGCGGUGGAAUGCAUAGAUAUGACGAAGAACACCGCUUGCAUAGGCAGCUGACCAGAUCGCAAAUUACGCUCAUGCACGAAAGUGCGGGGAUCGAACAGGAUUAGAUACCCUGGUAGUCCGCACAGUAAACGAUGAAUACUUGUUUUCGGCGAUAUAAUGUCGGAGGCAAAGCGAAAGCGAUAAGUAUUCCACCUGGGGAGUACGCCGGCAACGGUGAAACUCAAAUGAAUUGACGGGG